GCGGCGGUGGAGGAAUCGGCAGACUCGAUGCCCUCAAAAGGCAUUGUCCGAAAGGACGUGUGGGUUCGAAUCCCACCCGCCGCA
rnacentral:tRNA from 1 species